ACGGUCCUACGGGAGGCAGCAGUAGGGAAUCUUCCACAAUGGGCGAAAGCCUGAUGGAGCAACGCCGCGUGGGUGAAGAAGGUCUUCGGAUCGUAAAACCCUGUUGUUAGAGAAGAAAGUGCGUGAGAGUAACUGUUCACGUUUCGACGGUAUCUAACCAGAAAGCCACGGCUAACUACGUGCCAGCAGCCGCGGUAAUACGUAGGUGGCAAGCGUUAUCCGGAUUUAUUGGGCGUAAAGGGAAGGCAGGCGGUCUUUUAAGCCUAAU
rnacentral:rRNA from 1 species